rnacentral:rRNA from 1 species
AAAUUGAAGAGUUUGAUCAUGGCUCAGAUUGAACGCUGGCGGCAGGCCUAACACAUGCAAGUCGAACGGUAGCACAGAGAGCUUGCUCUCGGGUGACGAGUGGCGGACGGGUGAGUAAUGUCUGGGAAACUGCCCGAUGGAGGGGGAUAACUACUGGAAACGGUAGCUAAUACCGCAUAACGUCGCAAGACCAAAGUGGGGGACCUUCGGGCCUCACACCAUCGGAUGUGCCCAGAUGGGAUUAGCUAGUAGGUGGGGUAACGGCUCACCUAGGCGACGAUCCCUAGCUGGUCUGAGAGGAUGACCAGCCACACUGGAACUGAGACACGGUCCAGACUCCUACGGGAGGCAGCAGUGGGGAAUAUUGCACAAUGGGCGCAAGCCUGAUGCAGCCAUGCCGCGUGUAUGAAGAAGGCCUUCGGGUUGUAAAGUACUUUCAGCGAGGAGGAAGGCGUUGUGGUUAAUAACCACAGCGAUUGACGUUACUCGCAGAAGAAGCACCGGCUAACUCCGUGCCAGCAGCCGCGGUAAUACGGAGGGUGCAAGCGUUAAUCGGAAUUACUGGGCGUAAAGCGCACGCAGGCGGUCUGUCAAGUCGGAUGUGAAAUCCCCGGGCUCAACCUGGGAACUGCAUUUGAAACUGGCAAGCUUGAGUCU